UCCAGGUCACACCUGGUCUUCCUGUCCCUUGAAGGCAUUUUCUGGCUGUGUUCCAAGAAGCCCUGAGUCUUCAGGAUCCUGAGGGAAACUCCCCUCCCCUCUCCCCUUCCCGCCCUGGAGCUUGGCUACAGGCAGUGGAAGCAGCUGAUGGCUUCUGAGGUCCCCUUCCAGCCCAACGCCCAAGCUUGGCCAGAGGCAGCACCAGUCUCUCCUCUCCUUCCCUUCUGUCCGCAGGGCCUACCCAGUGCCGGAACACCCAGCGGGCUCCGUAAUGCCAUUUGCAUGAACAAGUAACCAAGUGAAUGACAAGCAGUUCUUAGAGCAACGGACUAGGACAACCUCCUAGUGUAAACUCAGCGCACUUCUGACCCAAAGAGGGGGGCUGCUCAGUUUUGAAUGGUGGCCUGGAAUCCAUGAAAGAGGCAAAGGUUCUACAGAUGCAGACGGACCGAGUCUUCCUUGCAGCUCUCCUCUUCCUGGUCCGCGACUCUGGCACACCAGUUAGCCUCCCGACCUCGAUUUCCCCAGUCGACAAGAUGCGUCCCUCCUAGCAGUCACGGGGAUUACACGAGACUUCUUUUUUUUGAAAGAAUCCUGCAUGGAUCCCCAAUAUAUAAACCAGAUGGCCGAGCUGCUGUGGUUUAAGUGGGGGAGGAGUGCGAACCAAGCCAGUCAGCACCCUCAAGCACAGCCGCCUAACCGUGAGGCCUGACCACUGCUGCAAAGCCCUGGGAGCCAACCCUUCGUUUUUAAGAGCUAUAAAGGUUUCUUUCACGCAGUUGUUGGAAUUCAAGAAUUUCAGAGUGGCUUAGCUGGUUGUGGAUGGGGGUCUCUCAUGAGGUGGCAGCAAAUAUGGUGGCUGGGACUACAUCAUCUGGAGGCUUGACUGGACCUGAAGGACCUGAUUCCCAAGUGGAGCAUUCCAUCACUGGCAAGACAGUACGGGCCAUUGGCAGGAGGCCCCAGUUCUCACCCCAUGUACCUUUCCAUAAUGCUGCUGGAGUGAUCGUGACAUGGCGGCUGACUCCCUGAUGAGUGAUCCAGGCGAUCCCAAAGUGGAAGCCAUAAUGUCUUUCAUUAUCUGACAUCCGAAGUCACACACCACCAGCAUUUCCACAAAAGACUCACAAGAGAAGAAAACUUCUUUAACUUGACAAAGGACAUCUCCACAGCCAUCUCAUAUACCCACCAUGCGUCUCCUGACUGUGUACCAUCUACCACUGUAUGCUUUCACAUGAAUAAAUCUCAAUAACAGAAGUCCGAGGUCACGUCAUCUUAGUCUGGACACAUUGUCUUCCAAACCUCAAACCCUCGAUUUGUGGCCUCAUCUGAACUAGAGACUGGACUGGUUUGACAUCCAAGGGUUUCGAACUGCAUUUUCGAGGAAGGCUGGAUUGGUUGGUGAGAGCUGAGGGUCAAGAAGGGUGGCAUAGGUCUCCUCUCUCCUUCCCCUUCCUGCCUCAACCAGGGCAAAUUCCCUUGUAUCUGCUUUGUGUGUUGAAACUGUGUAAGAUUUCAUUUGUGAAAAAGUUCUGGCCCUUAAAAGUU